AGAAUCAACGCUGGCGGCGUGCCUAACACAUGCAAGUCGCACGAGAAAGGGUAGCAAUACCUGAGUACAGUGGCGCACGGGUGAGUAACACGUGAAUGAUCUACCUCCGAGUGGGGAAAUAACUGAGAGAAAUCUUAGCUAAUACCGCAUAAUACCCACGGGUCAAAGCAGCAAUGCGCUUGGAGAGGAGUUCGCGGCCGAUUAGUUAGUGGCGGGGUAAUGGCCCACCAAGACGAUGAUCGGUA
rnacentral:rRNA from 1 species